CGAGUGUCAGUAUCGAUUGUGUAGUGGACCCAAGAACACAGCGCGGGGAGUAAGCCUCCAGCACCUCACAGAAACUAUUCACUAAACCCGUGAAAUGAAACUAGGCUGACAACUGGAGGGGGCUGUAGUCAUUCCUCGCAGGAUGGAAUGUAACGGGAACCUGCCGGAAAAGGCGAUGUCCAGCAGCGUAGAGGACCUCAGUGACUACACGGACGCUGACGAGAGCAUCUCUGCCCCUACAGAAAUACUUGCUGAGGUAGGUGUUUCAUAGAUCAGUUUAUUGUCUCUGUUACACCAGGAUCCCUACAUAUU